CUGUGUCUUUAUCUAUAAUAUUCUAUAUGUUGGUCAAUAUUAAGCAAAUCUGGAACUGUGCUUGGUAGAAACAUAGCACUGUUUGUAGUCAAAAAAUGGGAGCAGAAUGCUUUUUAAGUAAUGAUCCAGUAUUUUUAAGCUGCAGCCCAGCAUUGCUGGUACUUGAGAAUGCUGGCCUUGCACUUGGUGGGGUUGGCAGCAGGAAAAAGCUGGUCAAGCUUAAGCCAGCUGCAGGAGUGCUCCCAGUUUCAAACAGUAAUCUGAGUGCUCAUCUCUGUGCUGUCCAUAGAUGCAUUUGUUGUGCUCUUUCCACCACUCUUUAUUAGUUCUCACAAGACCAUUAGUCUCCCAGUAAGCGUGUAGCAGACUAUCUCAUUUCACCAGGUUUUAUAAAUACCUCAAUCAUCAAGAUGAGUUUCUCUGUAUUUUGCCCUAUAGUUUGAGCAAUACAAAUGAAACACCAGUGCGUGAAAGCUGAGCUGAAUACCAUGAAAUGAAGCGCAGAUCUUCUAGGAAGGAGUAGAGACACACACCAGUUGUGCUCGCUUCACUUCCCAGCCUGCAGUGAACAGAGACACUUUGACAACUCAAGCCUCUGUGACUGCGAUAAAACAGCAGUCCUGGGCACAAAAGGAAACACAGGUGCAAGAAAACAUUGCUGAAAUGCUUCUCUUCAGCAUGAUCUUGCUGCUCAAUAGUAACUGGGUGAAGAGGAAUCUGGCAGACUUAUUCCCUCCUGCAUUUCCUGAGCUGCCAGUUUGCAAGCCUUUUUGCCAGGAUCAAGCUGCUAUCCAGCAGAAAUAAUGACUGUCUUAUCAAUCUGUUUUCAUUUUACUCUGAUUUUUGCAGAUUACACGAGCAAUGACUAGAAGUUGCCAAGUAGUGUCAAGCUGGUUUAAAGUUGAUGUUCCCCCAUUGUACUGGAAUACUAGAACUGUUAGGUCCACAGCCUGAAGCAGUGAUUGAGCACCUGGUGAAGGGGCAUAGUCAGCCCUAGGAGCACAGGUGCAAGCAAUUCCCUGAGGGAUCCUAAUCACAUAUAAGGGCUGGCAGCUGAAAGGGAAGACUCUCUACUUGGAGAUUGCCUCCUUUGGGAGUUUACUACUGAGCCUGGUAUCCUCAGAAAGGGAGGAAACCCAAGGCACAGAGGAGGAGGUGAGAUACUGAGAACUGCACCAGCAACCCAGGAAAAGAAGUCCACCAGGCAUUCCACGUGGCAGCCUGGGCUCCCUUCCUACUGUGCGACAGCAUCAUUCACAGAAAUGACAAGGCUAAAGGAGCAAGAGAAAAGCAAACCACAAUAGUCAUCUUUGUUAGGAUUUCCUGGCAUUCUAAUGUCAUCUCCAUGGAUAUUGAAGUCUGUUCCUGCAGAAACAAAACAACUAUAAAACAAACCAGCCUCUCCAGAACACAGAGUGAGAUGGAAAGACCUUGAGAGCUUUCAUCCCUCUCCAUUUGUGCUUGCCACCUGGCCCUGGAAGCCGCUUAGCUCUCAUAAGGCCUCAUAGAAGGCUAGCCUUAACUUCCCCAUGUGGUGAAGCCUUCCUAAUAUAGAGCAAGGUUUCUGGGCUUUCCUGGAAAGCAAAACUGCAGUUGACCUGGUCUAGUUGGAAGCAUGGCAUUCUUCCUCAAGAUCAUUGCUGAAUGUUCAAGGGGAUUAAGUGUUCCCAAAAGAAGAGUUUUUGCUGUGAUUACACUCUAAUAUGGGUGUUAAGUUGUGUUUAGAGUUUAAACUAGCACAAUCUCUUGCUUCAGAAAUCCACAUAUUUUUUAAAGAUGUGGGAUGAUGGGAGUAACACUUCAAGGUGAUGAGAGAGAGAGAGAGAAAUUGCUUUCUCGUAAAUUGCCAGCUUAAAUAAAUAGUGAAUGUGCCAGACAACCAAACCUGUAAAAAUAGUGUUGUUUCACCGCUUCUUAAUCCAUACUAACCAGGAAAUGCCGAAAAAGAAAAUGAUAGCAAGAGCUAUGUUACAAUGUGGAAAUAUUCUGUUAU